GACGAACGCUGGCGGCGUGCUUAACACAUGCAAGUCGAACGGAAAGGCCCUGCUUUUGUGGGGUGCUCGAGUGGCGAACGGGUGAGUAACACGUGAGUAACCUGCCCUUGACUUUGGGAUAACUUCAGGAAACUGGGGCUAAUACCGGAUAGGAGCUCCUGCUGCAUGGUGGGGGUUGGAAAGUUUCGGCGGUUGGGGAUGGACUCGCGGCUUAUCAGCUUGUUGGUGGGGUAGUGGCUUACCAAGGCUUUGACGGGUAGCCGGCCUGAGAGGGUGACCGGCCACAUUGGGACUGAGAUACGGCCCAGACUCCUACGGGAGGCAGCGGUGGAGAAUAUUGCGCAGUGGGCGGAAGCCUGAUGCAGCGACGCCGCGUGCGGGAUGACGGCCUUCGGGUUGUAAACAGCUUUCGCCUGUGACGAAGCGUGAGUGACGGUAAUGGGUAAAGAAGCACCGGCUAACUACGUG
rnacentral:rRNA from 1 species